rnacentral:lncRNA from 1 species
AUUUUCUUUGAUGAUUUAAGUAUAAUUGGAACUAAUUUGCAUAAUUCUAGAGUGAUUUUAACCUUGACUUUUGGACGUUGAAUAAACCUGUGAGAUUUUGAGCCAUAACUGUUUAUCAUACACAGUUUAUUCUUUGUUGUGAGUUUUGUCAUGCAUAUGUGGUGAUCUUCUAGAACUUGCCAUGGUUUCUGUGUCGAGGUUGCUGUUGUGCCCAGGAUUAGGAGAUGAUUUUAGGCCAUCUUUUGUUAGCCACAUUAUUUUCCCAAACACUGUCCUUAUUGAAAAAAUUAUCCUUUGUUAUCCACUUUGAGCCUAUUUAGCUUUUAUUCUUUAGCCGGAUGAUAGGGGGUGAUGUAGUAUAUGGGAAUCUUUGUGUGGUGAAUAUCAUAGUGGUUCAUGAAAAAGAAGGGAUGAUAUUGUGAUACUAUUUACUCUUAUAAGACUACUAGAAAAAGUUAGUAGGAAAAGAAAAAGAAAAAAAAAAAAGAAAAAAAAAAAGAAAAAAAAAAAGAAAAAGAAAGAGAAAAAAGUAUAAAGUCGAGUGUAUAUUGAGAUAUUUGUUUGAAAAUCGACUUUGUGUGUUGGAAAUAAAUGGAGAGCAUAAAAGAGUGUUUAGUUCUAUUUUGUGAUGAUUAAAUCCCUUGAGUUGUGUUGUUUAUGGUGGCAUAGUUGGGAGGAAGAUGGAAUUUAUUCCAUACUUGAUUUGUGAAGCUAUAAGGUUGGUGUUCUUGAUCUAUUUGAGUCACUUAGCCUAUAUUUCCCUACCUUAACCAAUGUCCCUACAUUAUAACCCAAAGAAAAAGACCUUUCUGAUCUUAG